rnacentral:lncRNA from 1 species
AUGUGUGUGGAGUGCAAGAAUUUGCAGUUGAAUGAAGUAUUAAUUUCAAUCAUAAAGUUAGGUGACUUCUCAAGCACUCAAGGAAGAGAAGCACUGCUCAUAGCUUAUUUUGGAGCACGGUCUGGAGUCUUUGAGGAGUGUACCAGCAUGUGGUCAGCUAGAGGCCCUCAGGCCCUUCGUAAAGCUCCUUUCUGUGGCAGAACCAGCACAAGUAGCUGGCUACAAGGAUUUAGAGCUCCGUGGUAG